UCUCCGUUGGUGGACCAGCGGAGGGAUCAUUACCGAGUUUACAACUCCCAAACCCAAUGUGAACCAUACCAAACUGUUGCCUCGGCGGGGUCACGCCCCGGGUGCGUCGCAGCCCCGGAACCAGGCGCCCGCCGGAGGGACCAACCAAACUCUUUCUGUAGUCCCCUCGCGGACGUUAUUUUUACAGCUCUGAGCAAAAAUUCAAAAUGAAUCAAAACCUUCAACAACGGAUCUCUUGGUUCUG
rnacentral:misc_RNA from 1 species